rnacentral:rRNA from 2 species
CAAGAGCCCCGAAACGGGCCUUCGACC